UCGGAAUCACUGGGCGUAAAGCGCACGUAGGCGGCUCUUUAAGUCAGGGGUGAAAUCCUGGAGCUCAACUCCAGAACUGCCUUUGAUACUGAGGGGCUUGAGUCCGGGAGAGGUGAGUGGAACUGCGAGUGUAGAGGUGAAAUUCGUAGAUAUUCGCAAGAACACCAGUGGCGAAGGCGGCUCACUGGCCGGGUACUGACGCUGAGGUGCGAAAGCGUGGGGAGCAAACAGG
rnacentral:rRNA from 1 species